AUCCCGUGGUGAGGGCAUCUAUGUAGUAGUGCCAUAAAUCAUUCCCAUGCCUCAUAUGGCGACUCGUCAACCAAAUGUUGAAAAGUGGCAAUCUCAUUUCGCAACU
rfam:Gossypium raimondii Chr08_contig_447, whole genome shotgun sequence.